rnacentral:miRNA from 1 species
AGGUUGACAUACAUUUCCC